rnacentral:rRNA from 1 species
UACGAAGGGGGCUAGCGUUGCUCGGAAUUACUGGGCGUAAAGGGCGCGUAGGCGGCUCUGUUAGUCAGGCGUGAAAUUCCUGGGCUCAACCUGGGGACUGCGCUUGAUACGGCAAGGCUUGAGGGCAGGAGAGGCUCGCGGAAUUCCCAGUGUAGAGGUGAAAUUCGUAGAUAUUGGGAAGAACACCGGUGGCGAAGGCGGCGAGCUGGCCUGUUACUGACGCUGAGGCGCGACAGCGUGGGGAGCAAACAGG